rnacentral:rRNA from 1 species
UUGAAGUUAAUAGCUUCAUCGUUUGACGUUAGCGACAGAAGAAGCACCGGCUAACUCCGUGCCAGCAGCCGCGGUAAUACGGAGGGUGCGAGCGUUAAUCGGAAUUACUGGGCGUAAAGCGCAUGCAGGUGGUUUGUUAAGUCAGAUGUGAAAGCCCGGGGCUCAACCUCGGAACCGCAUUUGAAACUGGCAGGCUAGAGUACUGUAGAGGGGGGUAGAAUUUCAGGUGUAGCGGUGAAAUGCGUAGAGAUCUGAAGGAAUACCAGUGGCGAAGGCGGCCCCCUGGACAGAUACUGACACUCAGAUGCGAAAGCGUGGGGAGCAAACAGGAUUAGAUACCCUGGUAGUCCACGCCGUAAACGAUGUCUACUUGGAGGUUGUGGCCUUGAGCCGUGGCUUUCGGAGCUAACGCGUUAAGUAGACCGCCUGGGGAGUACGGUCGCAAGAUUAAAACUCAAAUGAAUUGACGGGGGCCCGCACAAGCGGUGGAGCAUGUGGUUUAAUUCGAUGCAACGCGAAGAACCUUACCUACUCUUGACAUCCAGAGAACUUAGCAGAGAUGCUUUGGUGCCUUCGGGAACUCUGAGACAGGUGCUGCAUGGCUGUCGUCAGCUCGUGUUGUGAAAUGUUGGGUUAAGUCCCGCAACGAGCGCAACCCUUAUCCUUGUUUGCCAGCACGUAAUGGUGGGAACUCCAGGGAGACUGCCGGUGAUAAACCGGAGGAAGGUGGGGACGACGUCAAGUCAUCAUGGCCCUUACGAGUAGGGCUACACACGUGCUACAAUGGCGCAUACAGAGGGCAGCCAACCAGCGAUGGUGAGCGAAUCCCAAAAAGUGCGUCGUAGUCCGGAUUGGAGUCUGCAACUCGACUCCAUGAAGUCGGAAUCGCUAGUAAUCGUGAAUCAGAAUGUCACGGUGAAUACGUUCCCGGGCCUUGUACACACCGCCCGUCACACCAUGGGAGUGGGCUGCAAAAGAAGUGGGUAGUUUAACCUUCGGGAGGACGCUCACCACUUUGUGGUUCAUGACUGGGGUGAAGUCGUAACAAGGUAGCCCUAGGGGAACCUGGGGCUGGAUCACCUCCUUAUACGAUGAU